UCCUCAUAUCACCUGAGCUGGCUGUGGAGUACAACAUGCUUGGCCGACAUGGGAAAAAAAAGUUCAGAGAUUUACGUCUUUUUAAUGUUGUGUAUGAGGCACUGAAGAAGAAUUAUUUAACAUCAAAAGUCAACUUGCAAGAAGCAGAGAAGGCUCUCUCCAAGUGGUUCACUGGAGCUAAAGACAGAGGAGGACUGAGGGCUGCAAGGGUACAAAAUAGACUUACGGCUCUGUAAAAAAACAAAAAAAGAAACCCAGCUGAUUCAAGAUAAGCUUUUGAGUUUUCCAUCUGACUUUUUCUCACUGUUGCAACAGUUCCGAAUAUAUAAGGAAUUUUGAUGUAGUUUGACAUUUCUAUUUUUUAAAAGUUUACGCACUUUGAAAUACAGUUACGUAAAAUCACAGUUGUUGGACAAAAUAAAUGUGAAAAAUGUUG